rnacentral:tRNA from 1 species
GCCUGGGUGGCUCAGUUGGUUGAGCGUCUGACUUCGGCUCAGAUCAUGAUCUCACAACUCCUGAGUUCGAGCCCGAGCCCACGUU